rnacentral:rRNA from 1 species
GACGAACGCUGGCGGCGUGCUUAACACAUGCAAGUCGAACGGAAAGGCCUCAGCUUGCUGGGGUACUCGAGUGGCGAACGGGUGAGUAACACGUGGGUGAUCUGCCUUGCACUUCGGGAUAAGCUUGGGAAACUGGGUCUAAUACCGGAUAGGACAGCUGUUUAGUGUCAGUUGUGGAAAGUUUUUUCGGUGCAAGAUGAGCUCGCGGCCUAUCAGCUUGUUGGUGGGGUAAUGGCCUACCAAGGCGUCGACGGGUAGCCGGCCUGAGAGGGUGGACGGCCACAUUGGGACUGAGAUACGGCCCAGACUCCUACGGGAGGCAGCAGUGGGGAAUAUUGCACAAUGGGCGGAAGCCUGAUGCAGCGACGCCGCGUGGGGGAUGAAGGCCUUCGGGUUGUAAACUCCUUUCGACAGGGACGAAGCUUUUGUGACGGUACCUGUAUAAGAAGCACCGGCUAACUACGUGCCAGCAGCCGCGGUAAUACGUAGGGUGCGAGCGUUGUCCGGAAUUACUGGGCGUAAAGAGCUCGUAGGUGGUUUGUCGCGUCGUCUGUGAAAUUCCGGGGCUUAACUCCGGGCGUGCAGGCGAUACGGGCUGACUUGAGUGCUGUAGGGGAGACUGGAAUUCCUGGUGUAGCGGUGAAAUGCGCAGAUAUCAGGAGGAACACCGAUGGCGAAGGCAGGUCUCUGGGCAGUAACUGACGCUGAGGAGCGAAAGCAUGGGUAGCGAACAGGAUUAGAUACCCUGGUAGUCCACGCCGUAAACGAUGAGUGCUAAGUGUUAGGGGGUUUCCGCCCCUUAGUGCUGCAGCUAACGCAUUAAGCACUCCGCCUGGGGAGUACGACCGCAAGGUUGAAACUCAAAGGAAUUGACGGGGACCCGCACAAGCGGUGGAGCAUGUGGUUUAAUUCGAAGCAACGCGAAGAACCUUACCAAAUCUUGACAUCCUCUGACCCCUCUAGAGAUAGAGUUUUCCCCUUCGGGGGACAGAGUGACAGGUGGUGCAUGGUUGUCGUCAGCUCAUGUCGUGAGAUGUUGGGUUAAGUCCCGCAACGAGCGCAACCCUUAAGCUUAGUUGCCAUCAUUAAGUUGGGCACUCUAAGUUGACUGCCGGUGACAAACCGGAGGAAGGUGGGGAUGACGUCAAAUCAUCAUGCCCCUUAUGAUUUGGGCUACACACGUGCUACAAUGGACAAUACAAAGGGUAGCGAAACCGCGAGGUCAAGCAAAUCCCAUAAAGUUGUUCUCAGUUCGGAUUGUAGUCUGCAACUCGACUAUAUGAAGCUGGAAUCGCUAGUAAUCGUAGAUCAGCAUGCUACGGUGAAUACGUUCCCGGGUCU